rnacentral:misc_RNA from 1 species
AGAAGGGCAGAAGUUGAGACGUGGAAAGGCUCAUCACAUGAUCGGCAUAUAAAUGCAUGUCAAAGGCAAUUUUCAUGCUUAUUAUCAUGUUUGUUACUAUGGUACGCUACCAGCUUGAAUGUUUCAGCCAACAAGAUAACGAGUGUUCUUCUAAAGAAAAUUGUUCUUUGUAACCAAAUAAUGAAAGGGACAAGAGAAAUUGGUUGGUAGUCUUCUUGGCAAAGAGGUAGGUGAUCUGAAGAAGGGCAGAAGUUGAGAUGUGGAAAGGUUCAUCACAUGAUCAGCAUGUAACUAGAAUGAAAUUUUGUAGCCUGGUCUGCUGCUGCUUCAUCCUUUAAUAGUCAAAUUUUAAACCACAUCUUUUUCAUAUCUUUUAAAAAAAACUAUUGAAUCUUACCUUCUCUUUUAUUUUGUGACUCUCUUUCUAAGGUGAGGGAGCAGGAUUUAGGAAGGAUGUUGUUCUCUUAACAGUACCAAUUCUGAAGUAUCACCUCAGAAUUAUAUGAAACCCUUUUUCGUUGAAUGGUAAUUGUGGGACAUAUCUAAAAAGAUUCAGACAAAGGCCUGAUUUUACUUUUAACCUUGGUUGCUUAUGGGCAUAUGCUACAAAUACUCUUUUGGUUUUGUCAAGAUUUCAGAUUUAAUUCCUUGCCUAGAAACUACAACGAUUCAGUCUACCUAGAAACUACAACAAUUCAGUCUAUCUUGUUGUUCUUACUAGAGAGCUUGAGCUGUUUUCAUGGCAGCACAUUGAAGGACUGUUAGUGCAUUUAAGUGCAUCUAAAUGCUUUAGAAAAUAAUUUUUCAUGACCAUAUUUGCCUUGUUUACCAAGGUAAAAAAAAGAACUAGUGUGUUGGAAUUGCUUUUAUUUAUUUAUUUAUUU